CAUGGUUUGGUAAGUAAGAAAAAGGCCUAUGGUGGACAAGAAUAGUGUUCUGCCCUUGACAGAAAGUGGAUUGUUGUAGGAAAACUGGGUUUCUAGUAGGUCCUGAUGUAUACCUUCACCAAGUCAGAAGUAGUUACUGCUGCUUAAUUACUAAUGUAAGCAUCUGCAGAGCAAAUAAGUCAGACUGACAGCAAUUUGCAAGAGCUCUUUGAAGCUUAAGUAAAAGCUCACAAAGCACUCCAUUACUAACUAUGGACACCUGCCCCAAGUGUGUAAUUAUCUAGCAUUAAUGUCUCAAGUUUUUUUCAAAGGAGCUACAUACUGUCAGAGAUAGUCUUCUCAGUUUGAUAAAAGAAUUUCCUAUACCUACUAAUGUCAAACAGUCAAUGUCCUUUUCAGUCAGAAAAUUUGCUCUUCAUCUUGGCAGAUAUAUUUCACUUAAAUGUGAUGUUAUUGCUGCACCAUGAGGAGUCACAAAGCACAGUGGGGGGGGUCUCCAUCUCAGAGACAGUCUCAUUGCUAUUACCCAUCUUUACAGUGAAAGAGGUAAUACGUAACAAACGUAAUGAAAAAGAUAAUGAAAAGCGGGCACUGAAAAUUCAAAUAUCAAGUCAAAGAGGUGGAACAGUGGACUAAUUAAGGCAAAGGGAAUUUUGUGUACUGUGCAGUCCCCAAACUACUGGAUAAUGUCGGGCAUGCAUGACUGUGUCAACUCCAUUGCAACAAUGCAUUCAGGAGCCCAUUGUGAACCCUAAGGACCAGAAUUAUGCAAGAAGGAUGGUACCAAAGCAAUCUGCAAAUGUCUACUGCGCAUGCUUGACUCUGUGACUCCCAAGUGCAUUUUCAUUACACUAAUGUUUGGAUUUAAGGCUAUAAAUGCUAAAUGACCCCUUUCCCUUCACCCAAAUAUUAGCACCACUAAGACUAAGUAAUAAGUACAAACUUCCAAGACACUGACCUGGAACUAAGCAUCCGUACAAGGCAGGAAGGAGAGCAGAGGAAAAAAAAUUUGGGAUGAGAAUGAGUGUUAAGCAAUUGUCAUUAAAAACAACAAUUAGUAAUCUAGUUUUUAGUAUACUACUCAUAAGUACUCAAACACUUUUCCCAUGUAGCACACACACACACACACACACACACACACACAUACAACUACAACUACUGCUACUACUACUACAACUGCUACUACUACUAACAUGAGGUGGUUCUGAUGUCUUAUCAGUAUGAGAAGCAAAUGCGACAUGACCAAGGUGAUAGAAUAUUUAUUAUCAUUAUUUUUUUUUAACGUUCUGCCUAUAGUGCCAGCAGACUUUCUUGGUGGAGUCUGAUGGUAAUCAUCAUGAUCGACCCCAGCCUGUUAUGGUGCUUGCAAGUGUUUAUAGUGGCGUCAUCUUGCUUGGCUCAUGCUUCCCCCCAGAGCUCAUCUUGGAUCCUCUCUUGAGAGAUAAUCUAGAGUCUGGGUUGUUAAGUGGUUUUCAAGACAAAAUGUGGGUAAUCUUAGGCCAUUCGGCAGUGAGUAAAGAAAUCCUAGCUUGUGGAUGCGAACCUGUGUCCUCCUGAAGGCUGUGCCCUCACACUAAUCACUCAGCCACUGCUGCCCCAUAAUGAUUAUACUUCUCAUCAGUCCUGUGCUGUGACAGGUUAAAGUCAUUGGUGUCCCCAGUGAGUUGAGGUUGGGGCAGGGGGAUCUUAGUGAAACACUAGAUCUUCUGGUGGCCCCCCACCUUUUAGAUCCUCAGGUGGACAAGGUGGUUCAAAUCCAACCAGGGGAUAGAGCAAAUUGUUAUCAAUAUUUUGGGGGACAAGGUGGUCAAAAGGGACAGGGCAUCAAGCUUUGUGCCAGGCAAGUGUGUGGAGGUUUGAACUCAAGUGGUGUCGCCUGACAUCAGGAAAGACAUCCACUCUUAAACCCCAAGAAACAACCUCCAAAACAGUGACACCAUAUAAACAUGGGUAAAUUUUUUAAAGAAAGAAAUAUCACUUAUUACUACUAAUGCAAAUUAAAGGUUAAUGAUGCCAAGAUCAUUUGUUAUCAACCCUCAGACAUGCCAGCUAUAUUGGCCUUAGUACCCAAACAUUGGGUCCUCACUUCAUGAAUGGUCAGUGAAUCUAAAAAUCCAUUUCUGAGAAACUCCCACUACAUUCACAAUUCAAGUUCGCUGCUAGCACAUCAAACGUUUAAUAAAUCAGCUGAUAAUGAGGGUGAAAAAAAGCUCUUCAAGCAUCUAAACCUUACAGGGGUUCAGACACCAUUUGUUGGGGCAGGGAAGCUGUGUUAUUUAAGAAGGUGCUGGUGUCCGCCAAUCAAAGAAACCAUUUUAUGACCUAGGUGUCCUUAGGCUCACGUUGCAAACCAGACCUCUACCUUCUGAAUUUUUUGGACUUGAGUAGGGUUUUACAAGGAGUUGUAGGCCCCUCUAAAACCAACCAAGAUCAGAAGCUGGACUUACUACUGCUAGCUGUGGGUAGGGACACAGGACCCCUAAAAAGAUAAAUCUUCCAGCCAUCCCUCAUUUUUUUACGGGAAAGGAAGCACUUCAGGGGCAAAAACAAAAACAAAAAAGAAUACCAGUUAAACGCCACUUCCGCAAAAGAGAACAGAAUGAGUGGUCAGAAGAGAGGACAAAAUUUCAGAAGGUGAAGUGUCUUGAUAUUCCCUCUUGAAGAUUUUAAGCCAUAGCCAGGAGGAAAUACAAAGGAACGAAGACUAUCCCAGAGUUUACCAGCAAUGAAAGGCUGCGGUGGAAUUUAAGAGGUAGAAGACUGUCAGUAAGAGGAAGGGAGCUGAUGAGAUGAAGAGCCUUUGACUCCACCCGAUCCAAAAGGGCUAUGUGCGGACACCAGCCACACAAAGAAUGAACCAUUAACAGGAAGGGGAGGAAAAGAGAGAGGCUACUUGGGGCAGUUGAGAACACAGCAUUCUUCACCCAGAUAGGUCAGCCCCUACCUAAUAGACCAGCCCACAGUUGGAAAACCUGGACUGGUUAAGGGCAAACUGCACUGCUGUUGCUGCUUGUUACAACUACAACUACUACUACUACUACUACUACUACUCCAACUCUUGCUUUACUAUUUACUAAUAAUUGUAACCUAUGCAAAUAUGCAGAUGAUGUUUGAAUUGCUACACACACACACACACACACACACACACACACACACACACACACACACACAUAUAUUAGUUAACCAAAUAACUCAACAAAAAACAAACACUACAUGAAGUAUACUGGAAAAGAACGACCUGUACUGCUCCUGCCAUGUGCUGUUAAUAUAAGCACAAGGCAAAUAAAAAAUAAUGCAAAAAACACAAAUUCUGAUCUGGAGAGAGAGAGAGAGAGAGAGAGAGAGAGAGAGAGAGAGAAAGUGUGAAAAAGAAAGUUAAAUCAAACGUACAUAGUUGAGAAAAAAAGCACACAAAAUCACAGCUAGUGUAGAUGAAUGAGAAGACAUGCAAAUCAAUAAACGGCUGACAGAAAGAGGCACUUGGAAGCAAAAAGGGGGCAAAAGUGCGCUAAACCAAAGCAAAACCUGAACAGAGGUGACAGAACAGGCAAGAUGGGACAGUGUAAGUGUAGUAAACUGGGAAACACACAGAAGUAAACCAAAUAAACAACACUACAUAAUGGAAAAAGAGAAAUCAGUGCAAAUAUAAUAAAAUAACAAAUCAUCAACUAGAUACAAUGGCAAAUAAAGUGCAGAAUAAUACAUAAUCAUCAGGAAAUUAUUGGUCCCGUAGCAGAAAAAAAGGAGAAUGGGAAAAUGGAUCUAGGGAAGGUAACGUAUAGAGGAUAUAAAACAAAAUAAGGAAAUAGUGAAAAAAUUGGUUUGAGAGAGAGAGAGAGAGAGAGAGAGAGAGAGAGAGAGAGAGAGAGAGAGAGAGAGAGGAA